GCUCCCCUCUUUCUUCGUGCCUAAUACAUGCAAGUCGAGCGAACAGACGAGGAGCUUGCUCCUCUGACGUUAGCGGCGGACGGGUGAGUAACACGUGGAUAACCUACCUAUAAGACUGGGAUAACUUCGGGAAACCGGAGCUAAUACCGGAUAAUAUAUUGAACCGCAUGGUUCAAUAGUGAAAGACGGUUUUGCUGUCACUUAUAGAUGGAUCCGCGCCGCAUUAGCUAGUUGGUAAGGUAACGGCUUACCAAGGCGACGAUGCGUAGCCGACCUGAGAGAGUGAUCGGCCACACUGGAACUGAGACACGGUCCAGACUCCUACGGGAGGCAGCAGUAGGGAAUCUUCCGCAAUGGGCGAAAGCCUGACGGAGCAACGCCGCGUGAGUGAUGAAGGUCUUCGGAUCGUAAAACUCUGUUAUUAGGGAAGAACAAAUGUGUAAGUAACUAUGCACGUCUUGACGGUACCUAAUCAGAAAGCCACGGCUAACUACGUG
rnacentral:rRNA from 1 species